AUGCAAAACCUCAGCCCCAUACAGGAGCUGUCAGAUGGCAGUCCCGAUGAGGACACCCCUCAGCCCUCAACUCUGCCUCUCAGGAGCUCCAGGAUCUGCAGGCAUCUCGCCAAAGAAGCCACCAGCGUCUGGAGGAGGUUCAGGAGAGGCUGAGGAAUGCCAGUCAACAUGUACGGCACUGGAACAUCCAGCUGAACCGACUGAUGACCCCCAUUACUCCUGCAGAGCGACUGGAAAGUCGGCUGUUAUCAAAGCCCAC